rnacentral:rRNA from 1 species
UUUUACUCCUUACGGGAGGCAGCAGUGGGGAAUAUUGCACAAUGGGCGAAAGCCUGAUGCAGCGACGCCGCGUGAGGGAUGACGGCCUUCGGGUUGUAAACCUCUUUCAGUAGGGAAGAAGCCCUCUUUGGGGGUGACGGUACUUGCAGAAGAAGCGCCGGCUAACUACGUGCCAGCAGCCGCGGUAAUACGUAGGGCGCAAGCGUUAUCCGGAAUUAUUGGGCGUAAAGAGCUCGUAGGCGGUUUGUCGCGUCUGCUGUGAAAGACCGGGGCUCAACUCCGGUUCUGCAGUGGGUACGGGCAGACUAGAGUGCAGUAGGGGAGACUGGAAUUCCUGGUGUAGCGGUGAAAUGCGCAGAUAUCAGGAGGAACACCGAUGGCGAAGGCAGGUCUCUGGGCUGUAACUGACGCUGAGGAGCGAAAGCAUGGGGAGCGAACAGGAUUAGAUACCCUGGUAGUCCAUGCCGUAAACGUUGGGCACUAGGUGUGGGGGACAUUCCACGUUUUCCGCGCCGUAGCUAACGCAUUAAGUGCCCCGCCUGGGGAGUACGGCCGCAAGGCUAAAACUCAAAGGAAUUGACGGGGGCCCGCACAAGCGGCGGAGCAUGCGGAUUAAUUCGAUGCAACGCGAAGAACCUUACCAAGGCUUGACAUGGACCGGAAAGACCUGAAACCAGGUGCCCCCGUC